GUUCCUUGCAAGGACUUGGUGCCUUUAGUUGUGGACAUUUUGGUUAAGCACUUUGGAGCUGUCCCUAGAGAGAGGGAAGAGGUGGAAGAUUAGGUUGAAGAAUCAUUAUUUCUUAUUUUUUAACCCUUUCUUUUCUUGCUUUUGUUUUGUGUAAUUGUGGGAUGUAGGAUACCAGAAGUUAUUGUUUAUCAUGUAAAAUUAGUUUGCUC
rnacentral:misc_RNA from 1 species